rnacentral:rRNA from 1 species
GACGAACGCUGGCGGCGUGCUUAACACAUGCAAGUCGAACGGAAAGGCCCUGCUUUUGUGGGGUGCUCGAGUGGCGAACGGGUGAGUAACACGUGAGUAACCUGCCCUUGACUUUGGGAUAACUUCAGGAAACUGGGGCUAAUACCGGAUAGGAGCUCCUGCUGCAUGGUGGGGGUUGGAAAGUUUCGGCGGUUGGGGAUGGACUCGCGGCUUAUCAGCUUGUUGGUGGGGUAGUGGCUUACCAAGGCUUUGACGGGUAGCCGGCCUGAGAGGGUGAACGGCCACCUUGGGACUGAGAUACGGCCCAGACUCCUACGGGAGGCAGCAGUGGGGAAUAUUGCGCAAUGGGCGGGAGCCUGAUGCAGCAACGCCGCGUGCGGGAUGACGGCCUUCGGGUUGUAAACCGCUUUCGCCUGUGACGAAGCGUGAGUGACGGUAAUGGGUAAAGAAGCACCGGCUAACUACGUG